rnacentral:misc_RNA from 1 species
GUUAUCGGUGUGAAGUAUCUAUAUAAACUGUGAGUGCAAUAGACAAUCAGUGAUGUGACAGAACGUUGGGUAUAUAAGACAGUGAUUUGACAUGUAAACUUUCUUUCCCAUACUUCUUCUCGUCGUGCGAAGUGUUUGCAUAAUAAUCAAUCUAUUCUCUUCAAUCUUUCAUUUUCUCCAUUUCAACAAACAACAAUGCAAUAAAUACAAGCAACAAAGCAAUACAACGAAACAGGGGAUAUCCCUGGUUUAGUACCAUGAUAAGGAAACCAGGAUCUGAUGAUGGGAUCCCAGAGAAAUCGAGGGAA